UACAGAGGUGGCAAGCGUUGUUCGGAAUCACUGGGCGUAAAGCGCACGUAGGCGGCUGUGUCAGUCAGGGGUGAAAUCCCGGGGCUCAACCUCGGAACUGCCUUUGAUACAGCACGUCUUGAGUCCGGAAGAGGUGGGUGGAAUUCCUAGUGUAGAGGUGAAAUUCGUAGAUAUUAGGAAGAACACCGGUGGCGAAGGCGGCCCACUGGUCCGGUACUGACGCUGAGGUGCGAAAGCGUGGGGAGCAAACAGG
rnacentral:rRNA from 1 species